rnacentral:rRNA from 1 species
GGAAUCUUCCACAAUGGGCGCAAGCCUGAUGGAGCAACACCGCGUGAGUGAAGAAGGGUUUCGGCUCGUAAAGCUCUGUUGUUAAAGAAGAACACGUAUGAGAGUAACUGUUCAAUGUGUGACGGUAUCUUACCAGAAAGGAACGGCUAAAUACGUGCCAG